rnacentral:rRNA from 1 species
UACGGGGGGGGCAAGCGUUGUUCGGAAUUACUGGGCGUAAAGGGCGCGUAGGCGGCCUACUAAGUCGGACGUGAAAUCCCUCGGCUCAACCGAGGAACUGCGUCCGAUACUGGCAGGCUGGAAUCCGGGAGAGGGAUGUGGAAUUCCAGGUGUAGCGGUGAAAUGCGUAGAUAUCUGGAGGAACACCGGUGGCGAAGGCGGCAUCCUGGACCGGUAUUGACGCUGAGGCACGGAAAGCUAGGGGAGCAAACGGG